GACGAACGCUGGCGGCGUGCUUAACACAUGCAAGUCGAACGGGCCCGCCCCUGUUUUUGGGGGUGGGUUGAGUGGCGAACGGGUGAGUAUCACGUGAGUAACCUGCCCCCUGCUCCUGGAUAACUGCUUGAAAGGGCGGCUAAUACGGGGUGUGCCGGCUGGUCCGCAUGGGCCUGGUCGGGAUAGUUUCAUCUUCGGGUGUUUCGGUGGGGGAUGGGCUCGCGGCCUAUCAGCUUGUUGGUGGGGUGGUGGCCCACCAAGGCGGUGACGGGUAGCCGGCCUGAGAGGGUGGGCGGCCGCACUGGGACGGGGACACGGCCCAGACGCCUGCGGGAGGCAGCAGUGGGGGGUAUUGCACAAUGGGCGGAAGCCUGAGGCAGCGACGUCGCGUGAGGGAUGGGGGCCUUCGGGUUGUGAGCCUCUUUCUCCGGCGGUGAAGGCCCUGUCCGUUGCGGCGGGGUUGACGGUAGCCGGGUAUGAAGCGCCGGCUAACUACGUG
rnacentral:rRNA from 1 species